UUUGGAAUAGCUAAAAACUGAUUUAAAAAAAAAAAAAAAGUUCAAAAAAAAAGUCCCAAAUACCACACAUCUCUGGAAAGUCCUCCCUUCUUCAGCAAAGAA
rnacentral:rRNA from 13 species